UGACCCCAGUUUGUUGGCAAAGCUCACAGAAUGGGGCACGGAAAUGGUGUGUGGCCUCCAGGCUUUUAUGUCAGCCACGGUCUGCAUGGAGAUGCCUUUUCCUCCUGCUCCUCACCAGUCACACCAUGGCCAACGUUAGUGCAGAUCAUCCCUGGCCAGUGGCAAUGCAGCUGUGGGCUGGCACGUUCUGCGCCUACAGGGAGGAAAGGGGACCUUCAGGAAAACAACUCUUGCCAGGUCUCCAGAACUGAACAAACGUCCUGUUUUGCGGAGCCAUGAGCACCACAAAAGAUAACCACAAAUUUCACCUGAUACAUCCACGGUCUGGAAAGAGAUUAUUUUUCUUGACGCUGAGCUGACUUUUCUGACCAUCUCAAAGUAGACUUGGAGUCAACUGUGGGGUCCCAGGAGGGAAAAGGAGAAGCGAGUCAUGUUGUGGCUAUCAGCAUUUCAC
rnacentral:lncRNA from 1 species